CUCCGCCCCUUCUGCCGCCGGUCGCUGGGAGGAAUCCGAGUCUUGGCGCUAAUCGUCUCUCCUUCGUCCCCUUGGCUGUCCUGACAACUUAUUUAUGGUCUAAGAUGCACUGUCUGAGAUUACACAGCUAUUAAGUAGUGGAUCCAGUAUGGAACAGAGGCCAGUCUGGCUCCAGUGGGCUACUUUCAGCCACCGUGCUCUAUUGUUUAUAGAAAACAUAUCAGGGACUUCCCUGGUGGUGCAGUGGUUAAGAAUCCGCCUGCCAAUGCAGAGCACAUGGGUUUGAUCCCUGGUCCAGGAAGAUCCCACAUGCCACGGAGCAACUAAGCCCAUGCGCCACAACUACUGAGCCUGCGCUCUAGAGCCCAUGAGCCACAACUACUGAGCCCAUGUGGCACAACUACUGAAGACCACGUGCCUAAAGCCCAAGCUCCUCAACAAGAGAAACCACU